rnacentral:rRNA from 1 species
AUGCACGCUGGCGGCGUGCCUAAUACAUGCAAGUCGAGCGAACAGACGAGGAGCUUGCUCCUCUGACGUUAGCGGCGGACGGGUGAGUAACACGUGGAUAACCUACCUAUAAGACUGGAUAACUUCGGGAAACCGGAGCUAAUACCGGAUAAUAUAUUGAACCGCAUGGUUCAAUAGUGAAAGACGGUUUUGCUGUCACUUAUAGAUGGAUCCGCGCCGCAUUAGCUAGUUGGUAAGGUAACGGCUUACCAAGGCAACGAUGCGUAGCCGACCUGAGAGGGUGAUCGGCCACACUGGAACUGAGACACGGUCCAGACUCCUACGGGAGGCAGCAGUAGGGAAUCUUCCGCAAUGGGCGAAAGCCUGACGGAGCAACGCCGCGUGAGUGAUGAAGGUCUUCGGAUCGUAAAACUCUGUUAUUAGGGAAGAACAAAUGUGUAAGUAACUAUGCACGUCUUGACGGUACCUAAUCAGAAAGCCACGGCUAACUACGUG